rnacentral:tRNA from 1 species
GGCCCGUUAGCUCAGUUGGUUAGAGCGUCGUGCUAAUAACGCGAAAGUCGUGGGUUCAAUCCCCUCACGGGCCA